rnacentral:rRNA from 1 species
GUAGGUGGCAAGCGUUGUCCGGAAUUAUUGGGCGUAAAGCGCGCGCAGGCGGUUCUUUAAGUCUGAUGUGAAAGCCCACGGCUCAACCGUGGAGGGUCAUUGGAAACUGGAGAACUUGAGUACAGAAGAGGAAAGCGGAAUUCCACGUGUAGCGGUGAAAUGCGUAGAGAUGUGGAGGAACACCAGUGGCGAAGGCGGCUUUCUGGUCUGUAACUGACGCUGAGGCGCGAAAGCGUGGGGGAGCAAACAGGAUUAGAUACCCUGGUAGUCCACGCCGUAAACGAUGAGUGCUAAGUGUUAGGGGGUUUUCCGCCCCUUAGUGCUGCAGCUAACGCAUUAAGCACUCCGCCCUGGGAGUACGGCCGCAAGGCUG